rnacentral:rRNA from 1 species
GGGGAAUAUUGGACAAUGGGGGCAACCCUGAUCCAGCAAUGCCGCGUGAGUGAGGAAGGCCUUAGGGUUGUAAAGCUCUUUCGGCGGGGACGAUGAUGACGGUACCCGCAGAAGAAGCCCCGGCUAACUUCGUGCCAGCAGCCGCGGUAAUACGAAGGGGGCUAGCGUUGUUCGGAAUUACUGGGCGUAAAGCGCACGUAGGCGGAUCGAUCAGUCAGGGGUGAAAUCCCAGGGCUCAACCCUGGAACUGCCUUUGAUACUGUCGAUCUGGAGUAUGGAAGAGGUGAGUGGAAUUCCGAGUGUAGAGGUGAAAUUCGUAGAUAUUCGGAGGAACACCAGUGGCGAAGGCGGCUCACUGGUCCAUUACUGACGCUGAGGUGCGAAAGCGUGGGGAGCAAA